UACCUGACUAUCAUGGUGAACUGUUAAAUCUCACCCACCGUGACAAUGUAAUCCAAAAGUUUAAAAAGAAAUCCAGGGAAGUGGCUUUUCAUAAAUUUAACGUUGUGUUUUAUUCUAGAUCUAAACUUUGGUUCAUAAAACACAAGUAACAAUUUAUCAGUCAAGCUGCCUAACUUGAGGCCAUGGCUUGAUGAACGAGAGAAAGGAUCUUUCUUUUUUUUUUCCCCCUCCUCUCUCUUCUCUCUCUCUCGCUCCUUCGCUCGAAGGAUACCGAAGCUAGGCGAAGCGGCCACAGCAGACGACUUUGUAAACCGGUACAGCCCUCGUCAUAACAGAAAGCGGGUGCCUUACUAGCCGACUUGCCCUCUCCCCGUUAGGAACGGAUUUCGAGUGUCCCUCAGUU